AGCGAACGUUGGCGGCAGGCCUAACACAUGCAAGUCGAACGAACCUUUCGGGGUUAGUGGCGGACGGGUGAGUAACACGUGGGAACGUGCCUUUAGGUUCGGAAUAACUCAGGGAAACUUGUGCUAAUACCGAAUGUGCCCUUCGGGGGAAAGAUUUAUCGCCUUUAGAGCGGCCCGCGUCUGAUUAGCUAGUUGGUUGAGGUAAUGGCUCACCAAGGCGACGAUCAGUAGCUGGUCUGAGAGGAUGAUCAGCCACAUUGGGACUGAGACACGGCCCAAACUCCUACGGGAGGCAGCAGUGGGGAAUCUUGCGCAAUGGGCGAAAGCCUGACGCAGCCAUGCCGCGUGAAUGAUGAAGGUCUUAGGAUUGUAAAAUUCUUUCACCGGGGACGAUAAUGACGGUACCCGGAGAAGAAGCCCCGGCUAACUUCGUG
rnacentral:rRNA from 1 species